rnacentral:rRNA from 1 species
AGGACGAACGCUGGCGGCGUGCUUAACACAUGCAAGUCGAACGGUGACGGAGGAGCUUGCUCCUCUUGAUCAGUGGCGAACGGGUGAGUAACACGUGAGUAACCUGCCCCAGACUCUGGGAUAACGUUGAGAAAUUGACGCUAAUACCGGAUACGAGACGAGACCGCAUGGUCAUCGUUUGGAAAGUUUUUCGGUCUGGGAUGGACUCGCGGCCUAUCAGCUUGUGGUGAGGUAAUGGCUCACCAAGGCGACGACGGGUA